GACGAACGCUGGCGGCGUGCUUAACACAUGCAAGUCGAGCGAGUGGCGAACGGGUGAGUAACGCGUGAGGAACCUGCCUCAAAGAGGGGGACAACAGUUGGAAACGACUGCUAAUACCGCAUAAGCCCACGACCCGGCAUCGGGUAGAGGGAAAAGGAGCAAUCCGCUUUGAGAUGGCCUCGCGUCCGAUUAGCUAGUUGGUGAGGUAACGGCCCACCAAGGCGACGAUCGGUAGCCGGACUGAGAGGUUGAACGGCCACAUUGGGACUGAGACACGGCCCAGACUCCUACGGGAGGCAGCAGUGGGGAAUAUUGCACAAUGGGGGAAACCCUGAUGCAGCGACGCCGCGUGGAGGAAGAAGGUCUUCGGAUUGUAAACUCCUGUUGUUGAGGAAGAUAAUGACGGUACUCAACAAGGAAGUGACGGCUAACUACGUG
rnacentral:rRNA from 1 species